rnacentral:rRNA from 1 species
UACGAAGGGGACUAGCGCUGUUCGGAAUCACUGGGCGUAAAGCGCACGUAGGCGGAUGUGUCAGUCAGGGGUGAAAUCCCGGGGCUCAACCUCGGAACUGCCUUUGAUACAGCACGUCUCGAGUCCGGAAGAGGUGGGUGGAAUUCCUAGUGUAGAGGUGAAAUUCGUAGAUAUUAGGAAGAACACCGGUGGCGAAGGCGGCCCACUGGUCCGGUACUGACGCUGAGGUGCGAAAGCGUGGGGAGCAAACAGG